rnacentral:lncRNA from 1 species
AUUUAUUAAUAUGAUUUAAAUUAAUUAGAUCCCUAAAUAAUGAAUGUACUUAAUUGAGAACCAAUAUUUUGACUGUAGACUAUCCACAUGCACCUGUGGAUUGGCCUGUGCAGAAAGAACACCUGCGAUUUUCUGUUUUUCUGGCAUGCUCCCAUCAUGCACUGUCUGGUCCCUCAAAUUGCUAUUUAUGCACUUAUUUCUAUUUUAAUCCUGCCCACCUCCAUUGCAGGGUAGGCUCAGCGAACAGCUGUGCCUCUGUUGCAUGGUUUAUUCUCGGAGUCUCUGUGCAGUGCCUCAACCCUGAUGGAAACUUAGGAAUCCUGCAUUCACUGAAUAGUGAACUCUGUGAUUGUGACAUCAGCUCCGGGUCCGAGUCUACAUUCCGGGGCAGCCUGGCUCCCAUAGCUCAGGGAAUUGUGACACUCCCAUUGGGCAGUUGUGGUGGUCUCUCCCAUAUGGCCCAGAUCCACUACUCUGUCAAAGGUUGCACCACCCAGACAAAAACAGGACACAGCAGUGUGUCAAUGAGCCAUGCUUUCUCCUGCCUUCCACAUCAUAAAAGGACUGCACAGUGUAUCUGA